AGCUGCAGAACGGUUGUGCCACUGAACAGAUCUUACAGGGAGGCUGUGAGGGUUCUCAGAGUUCAGGCACACAAGAUCUUAGCACUCAGCGUGUUGCCAAUGCCCAGAAUGUUCUCAUUAACAUGUUAGUCACUGGAGUCCAAUCUUUGCAUGCCAUAGUGAGCUCUCAAACCAGACUCCUGAUGGGUAUGUGGCGUAUCCAUGCUCCAGGACAGCUGGAGCAGUGUAAUUUCCUAUCAAAAAGUAUGUGUCCUGGCUUGUAAAUGCAUCUGAUUUUUUUAGUAGUGAGUUAUUAAGGAGUGAAAUUGUUAGAAUUGGGGGAUAGCGGCAUAGCAAAGUGCCUUCCACUUUGACAUGCAUUCUGUGUGUAGUAACCACGGCAUUCUGUUUUGCUGGCACUAUACCAGGUCCUCCGCCACUGUGUCAGUGACAAGGUCACAGUUAUUGGAGCUGGAAUUACUGUGUAUGAAGCCUUAGCAGCUGCUGAUGAGCUUUCGAAACAAGAUAUUUUUAUCCGUGUCAUCGACCUGUUUACCAUUAAACCUCUGGAUGUCGCCACCAUCGU
rnacentral:lncRNA from 10 species